rnacentral:rRNA from 2 species
UCCGGUGCUUCUAGCGAAGGGGAAACACUUCUUCCCAUCCCGAACAGAGCAGUUAAGCCCUUCAGCGCCGAUGAUACCUUUUUUUAAGGGGGAAAGUAGGCCAGUGCCGGAA